rnacentral:rRNA from 1 species
ACGGAGGGUGCGAGCGUUAAUCGGAAUUACUGGGCGUAAAGCGUACGUAGGCGGAUUAUUAAGCGAGAUGUGAAAUCCCGGGGCUCAACCUCGGAACUGCAUUUCGAACUGGUAGUCUAGAGUAUUGUAGAGGGUGGUGGAAUUUCCAGUGUAGCGGUGAAAUGCGUAGAGAUUGGAAGGAACAUCAGUGGCGAAGGCGGCCACCUGGACAAAUACUGACGCUGAGGUACGAAAGCGUGGGGAGCGAACAGG